rnacentral:rRNA from 1 species
AGUGAACGCUGGCGGUAGGCCUAACACAUGCAAGUCGAACGGCAGCACAGUAAGAGCUUGCUCUUACGGGUGGCGAGUGGCGGACGGGUGAGGAAUACAUCGGAAUCUACUUUUUCGUGGGGGAUAACGUAGGGAAACUUACGCUAAUACCGCAUACGACCUACGGGUGAAAGCAGGGGAUCUUCGGACCUUGCGCGAUUGAAUGAGCCGAUGUCGGAUUAGCUAGUUGGCGGGGUAAAGGCCCACCAAGGCGACGAUCCGUAGCUGGUCUGAGAGGAUGAUCACCCACACUGGAGCUGAGACACGGUCCAGACUCCUACGGGAGGCAGCAGUGGGGAAUAUUGGACAAUGGGCGCAAGCCUGAUCCAGCCAUACCGCGUGGGUGAAGAAGGCCUUCGGGUUGUAAAGCCCUUUUGUUGGGAAAGAAAAGCAGCAGGUUAAUACCCCGCUGUUCUGACGGUACCCAAAGAAUAAGCACCGGCUAACUUCGUG